rnacentral:rRNA from 1 species
UACAGAGGUCCCAAGCGUUGUUCGGAUUCAUUGGGCGUAAAGGGUGCGUAGGUGGCGCGCUAAGUCGGGUGUGAAAUUUCGGAGCUUAACUCCGGAAACUGCAUUCGAUACUGGUGUGCUUGAGGACUGGAGAGGAGACUGGAAUUCAUGGUGUAGCAGUGAAAUGCGUAGAGAUCAUGAGGAAGACCAGUGGCGAAGGCGGGUCUCUGGACAGUUCCUGACGCUGAGGCACGAAGGCCAGGGGAGCAAACGGG